rnacentral:tRNA from 1 species
GAGUUAAAAGCUAAAAAGAAGCAGCGGUAUUGUAAACCGAAAAAUGGAAUCUAACCCUUAACUCA